rnacentral:lncRNA from 1 species
GGUUGGGAGCAGGAAAACCGAAUCUGAAAAUGUACAGCCCCUUCUUCCUGUCGUGGGUCCCUCUGACGGGCUGGCAGCGUCCAGCAGCUGAGAACUAGGGGUCCUGUCCAUGCAGGCUCUGGGCAGUGAUCCAAGAGGCCAGAAGAGUGGAGAUGGAGCAGGGCCACUCCUUGGAGGCCCUGUCAGCACAGCCUUGGGCUCACAGUAAAUGGGGCAGGGGGUAGAGGGUGGUCUUUCUUCUUUCAUUUAGAACAAGCUGGAGGUGAAAAUCAUUUCUGCCCACCCUCCUCCCCCGGGGUGGAGCUCAUUUCACCUUGUAUCUUCUAGGAAGUCUCCUGACCCCCAAGGCUGGAUUAGGUGCAUCUCCUGGGCAGGUGGCGGGGGGCGGGGUGACAUAGCACUAUGUACUGCCCAUCCAUCCCUAGCCCUGUCAGCCGGGUUGCCAUCGCUUGCUGGCAUGUCCCUGACCCCACUGGCCAGACUCUGAUGGGAGGCAUCCUGGAAGAAAAUGGGAAGGGGGUAUUGGUCAGAGGGAGAAGCCAGUCCCACUGUGGUUGGAACUGAGGCCUCAUCUGGUCCCACAAGGGGCCCUGGAGCUGGGGUGACUCUUUGGAGUUGACCCAGACUGUAGCAAGGAGGCCAGGCCUUUCUUUCCCUGCAUUAGGCUGUGCCCUGGAAGCCACCGGCAGCUGACAGUCCGAGUAGCUGGCAGACGGGUCUGCCUCCUGAGGAAGGAACCUGGGAUGAACACCUGGAAGAGACUUUCUGAUUGCUAUGAAUGCUCUUCUACUUAUUUUUUAAAAAAUCAACUGUGAAACAGCCUCAGGCAGGGCCUUCAGGAGGUCCCCAGAAGCAGCCAUUGUUAUCACUGGGAGACGACAGCUCCAUGGUCAUUAUUGCCCCUGAAGAGCUUCCAGUGGGACAAGAUGUGGGGGUGGAAGACGGUGAUACUGAUGGUUCUCACCCUGUGUAGGCCAAGGUCUUAGCUUUUAACAAAAAUAUUUAAAAAGUAAAAAGCAAGUAACAAUGCUUUAAAAAUAGAGAAAACAUCCUGCUACUCGUUGUCUUCUUCUUCUUUAUUUAUUCUUUUUGAGACAGAAUUUUGCUCUUGUCGCUUAAGCUGGAGUAUUGUGGCAUGAUCUCAGCUUACUGCAACCUCUGCCUCUCAGGUUCAAGCAAUUCUCCGGCCUCAGCCUCCCAAGGAGCUGGGAUUUACAGGCAUGUACCACCACUCCCAG